AGCUUGCUAAGAUUGUCAGCUAAGUGGCGCACGGGUGAGUAAUAUAUAGUUAACCUGCCCUAGAGAGAGGGAUAACGUUUGGAAACGGACGCUAACACCUCAUAUGCCUUUAAGUCAUAAGACUGCAAGGGAAACAUUUAUGGCUCUAGGAUGGGACUGUACGGUAUCAGUUAGUUGGUGAGGUAAUGGCUCACCAAGACAAUGACACCUAACUGGUUUGAGAGGAUGAUCAGUCACACUGGAACUGAGACACGGUCCAGACUCCUACGGGAGGCAGCAGUGGGGAAUAUUGCACAAUGGACGAAAGUCUGAUGCAGCAACGCCGCGUGGAGGAUGACACAUUUCGGUGCGUAAACUCCUUUUAUAUAGGAAGAUAAUGACGGUACUAUAUGAAUAAGCACCGGCUAACUCCGUGCCAGCAGCCGCGGUAAUACGGAGGGUGCAAGCGUUACUCGGAAUCACUGGGCGUAAAGAGAAUGUAGGCGGGUAAUUAAGUCAGAAGUGAAAUCCAAUAGCUCAACUAUUGAACUGCUUUUGAAACUGAUAACCUAGAAUAUGGGAGAGGUAGAUGGAAUUUCUGGUGUAGGGGUAAAAUCCGUAGAGAUCAGAAGGAAUACCGAUUGCGAAGGCGAUCUACUGGAACAUUAUUG
rnacentral:rRNA from 1 species